rnacentral:rRNA from 1 species
ACUCCUACGGGAGGCAGCAGUGGGAAUAUUGCACAAUGGGGGAAAGCCCAUCGAUGCAGCCAUGCCGCGUGUGUGAAGAAGGCCUUCGGGUUGUAAAGCACUUUCAGCGAGGAGGAAAGGGUGUGUGCUAAUACCAUACAUCUGUGACGUUACUCGCAGAAGAAGCACCGGCUAACUCCGUGCCAGCAGCCGCGGUAAUACGGAGGGUGCGAGCGUUAAUCGGAAUUACUGGGCGUAAAGCGUGCGCAGGCGGUUUGUUAAGCGAGAUGUGAAAGCCC